UGGGGUGUGGGUCAGUGGCAGAGCACAUGCCUAGCAUGUAUGAGGCAUUGGCUUCGAUCCUUAGCACUGCAU
rnacentral:tRNA from 1 species